GAAGGUUGCGCAUUUCGAGAGGAGCUGGCAACACUGACAAGCAAAAGUGAUAAACAAGCGGUUGAAUUAGGGCGUAGGCUACUGCUUUUAAUACACAUUUAAUCGCAACUAUUUAACAGCGUGUCGCCUUAAAGUUCGUUUAACCAGUUAAGAGAUGGAGAAUUCCAGACUAAGGAUAUUUGGCUUGUUUCUGCUGAUAUUUGCUGAUUAUUACUCAAUCAAAGUCUGUACCAAGGAUCAUAAUGGAGAGACCCUGGCUAGAGAAGAACUACUAAAAUAUGCGUGUAAUAUCACUCUUGAUCCAAAUACUGCACAUGAAAUGCUCUCAGUUGCAGAGGACAACAAAACAUUGGUGCGUAACUCAGAGCCAAUGAUUUAUCCUGAUCACCCAGACAGAUUUACCGGCCUCCCACAGAUUCUGUGUAAAGAGCGUCUGUCUGGACGCUGCUACUGGGAGGCCGAGUGGAAAGGACUGGGUGACAUGGUGGUGUCCUAUGGAGGAAUCGGCAGGAAAGGAGAAAGUCUUGAUUGUCGAUUCGGAGCCAAUGACAAGUCCUGGAUUCUGAGCUGCUUUAUUGGAGAGAAACUGAUUGUCUGGCAUGAUAACAUGGGGGUUUAUAUUCCUCUCCCAACAACUCCCUAUAACAGAAUUGGGGUGUUUCUAGACGAGCCGGCUGGCAUUUUGUCCUUCUUCAGUGUCCCUGAUGAAAACACACUUAAUCACUUGUACACGUUCAAAACCAAAUUUACUGAACCCCUCUAUGCUGGAUUUGUGCUUUAUACAGAGUCAGUGACUCUGUGUGAUCUUAACUCUUUCACAUGUACAAUCACACCCAUGUGAUUAAAACGUACAUCAUAACCUGCUAAAAUUAAAAUCUCAUUUAAGCUGAGGCAUAGAAAAAGAUGUGCAGUGCUGGUCAUAAAUCACAAUUUAUCAGUGUUUUCAAACAAACAACAUUUAUUUUAGGUUUCAGACAUUCAAAUACACAUGACUACUAGCAAAUACACGCUGGUGACUAUAGAGGUGACAAUAAUCAUUAUUUUUAAAUAACUGCAUGAUGUGCUUUAUUCACAUUAGAGACACACUGUUUAUAUUACUCCAACAUUUACUCUAUUUCUCACCCAGUUAAACAGACACUUUUAUAUGUUUUGGAGGAAAAUGAUGAAUAAACGUGUUGUAAAUCCAGCAGCUCUAAUCUCUCCUGCAGCAUAGUCUAAACCAGGAGUGUCCAAAAUUGAUCCUGGAGGGCCGAUGUCCUGCAGAUUUUAGCGCCAACUUGCCUCAACUCACCUGCAAGGAUGUUUCUAGAAAGCUGUGGUCACACUGCACUUUUCUCCACAUAUACUUCCAUUCAAAUGCAUGCAAAUCUAUCAGACCGGAAACCCAAGUUGGUGCGUCAAGUUUUGCAGUUCUCUGCGUUGAAAAGUUUAAGCUUGGUGUGGUGAGCUCUGACCUUUUUUAAUGUCUAAUCAUCUUGUUUAAUCUCACCCCUUUUCGCAGCGCUGUACUACAGAAUUUCGGAAGCUUAAACUGUGUGACCACAGCUUUACAGCUUGAUUAGCUAGCACAGGUGUGUUCGAUUGGGGCUGGGGCUAAACUUGGCAGGACACCAGCUUUCCAGAACCGAGUUUGGGCACCCCUGAUUUAAACACUCAUAAUCCUUCAUAUAUCAAAUAAUAUGAUAAUAUAUAUAAUAUGAUAAUUGGAAUAUCAGAUAAUUCACAAUAUAGUUUGCAUGUUUGUCAGUGCUUACAGUAAAGGGAAGCAAAACACCAUAUAGACGUAACCCAUUGGGGCUGUGGUGUGUCACCUGAUAAGCUUAAAUAACUUUCUAAAUAACAGUCACAAUAAAAAAAAGCUCACCCAGGAAGGGCAGCGGGAGUAUUUAGAACUUGUGAAAGGGCUAAACAACAGAGUGAAUAAUUUCUGUACACUACAAAAUAUAGAGUGACUCUCAAAAGUAUUUGGACAGUUGAGAUUAGAGAUGGGAUGGUAUCUGUAACCUUGCAGGACUUGAAAUGCAACACGACUUGAUUGUAUCGUUUUUUUUUAGAUGGUUUUGCAAUAAAUACUCAUGACUUUU